AUUGAACGCUGGCGGCAGGCCUAACACAUGCAAGUCGAGCGGAUGAAGGGAGCUUGCUCCUGGAUUCAGCGGCGGACGGGUGAGUAAUGCCUAGGAAUCUGCCUGGUAGUGGGGGAUAACGUCCGGAAACGGGCGCUAAUACCGCAUACGUCCUGAGGGAGAAAGUGGGGGAUCUUCGGACCUCACGCUAUCAGAUGAGCCUAGGUCGGAUUAGCUAGUUGGUGGGGUAAAGGCCUACCAAGGCGACGAUCCGUAACUGGUCUGAGAGGAUGAUCAGUCACACUGGAACUGAGACACGGUCCAGACUCCUACGGGAGGCAGCAGUGGGGAAUAUGGGACAAUGGGCGAAAGCCUGAUCCAGCCAUGCCGCGUGUGUGAAGAAGGUCUUCGGAUUGUAAAGCACUUUAAGUGGGAGGAAGGGCAGUAAGUUAAUACCUUGCUGUUUUGACGUUACCAACAGAAUAAGCACCGGCUAACUUCGUG
rnacentral:rRNA from 1 species